CCUACGGGUGGCAGCAGUGGGGAAUCUUUCACAAUGGGCGAGAGCCUGAUGGAGCAACGCCGCGUGCAGGAUGAAGGCCUUCGGGUUGUAAACUGCUUUUAUAAGCGAGAAAUAUGAUGGUAACUUAUUAAUAAGGAUCGGCUAACUACGUGCCAGCAGCCGCGGUCAUACGUAGGAUCCGAGCAUUAUCCGGAGUGAAUGGGUGUAAAGAGUUGCGUAGGUGGCAUAAUAAGGAGCUAUUGAAAUCUGGUGGCUCAACCAUUCAGACUAUUAGCUAAACUGUUAAGCUUGAGACCGUUAGGGGUAAGUGGAAUUCGUAGUGUAGGAGGGAAAGACGUAGAUAUUAGAAGGAACACCAAUAGCGUAGGCAGGUUACUGGGACGGUUCUGACACUAAGGCACGAAAGCGUAGGGAGCAAACGGGAUUAGAUACCCCAGUAGUC
rnacentral:rRNA from 1 species